rnacentral:lncRNA from 1 species
GAUCUCUUAUAAGAAGAGCAAGUAUGCAUUGUAAUACCAUUCAAGCCUAUACAGAAGAAAUGAAAAAAAUAACUCAGAUAGUAAUGAGCCACGGUUACAGGCAGUCGCUUGUCAAAAAAUUAAAAAUCGAAAUAGAGAAUAAAAGUUCUGAAAGAAGAGCUCGACAAGGAAGUGCGAGUACCCCGCUAGCUCCACCACAAGUUACAACCGACCAGCAGGGUCCAACAUAUACAAACCUAUCCCAACAGAACUCAGAGGCUUGAAGGCGGUUAAAAAGAUUUUGAAUACCAAGAAGAAGAAACCUGCUUUUAAAAGGCCACCCACUGUGUAUGAC